UACGUAGGGUCCGAGCGUUGUCCGGAAUUACUGGGCGUAAAGAGUUCGUAGGCGGUUUGUCGCGUCGUUCGUGAAAACUUGGGGCUUAACUCCAAGCGUGCGGGCGAUACGGGCAGACUUGAGUACUACAGGGGAGACUGGAAUUCCUGGUGUAGCGGUGGAAUGCGCAGAUAUCAGGAGGAACACCCAUAGCGAAGGCAGCUUGCUGGGACGUUACUGACGCUAAGGCGCGAAAGCGUGGGGAGCGAACAGG
rnacentral:rRNA from 1 species